UCGCCCCGGAGAUCAGUGUCAGAAAGCGCCAUUGGCGCAAUCUAUAUCGAACAUGUUUCUUGCCUUUUACCAGAAACAUCCGGGCACUGUCUCCGCCUAUGGGGCCGGUAGCGGCACAAUUUUUGGAACCUUUAGAUAAACAC
rnacentral:snRNA from 18 species